CGGCGCUGGUUCCCCUUCAGUAGCGUGUUGGGGAAGCACACUGGAUAGUUGCUACAGUCCUCGCCUACCGCGGGAGUAGGAGCCGUUUGGCCGCGGUAUAUGUCGGGAUUGUCAAAGGAAUUGGCCAGGUCCCCUUGCAUCCUGUUGGGGUAAUCCCCAGAUGGGGAGCUAAGUUACCUGGAGUCCCAGAACCUCGGUCUACACCUUCUGCUGGUACUGGUAGGAGGCUGUGGCAGCCUUUAUCCACCCCCACGUUUACUCACACCCACUCACUCACUCGCACACUCAAGGCCUGAGGCCUAUGGCCUAUGGACAUUGGCCAACUUGUGUGUGGGACCUUCAAGGACUCUUUGAAUUAUACCCGGUCAGAAUGAACUGAACAACCUGUCUGGACCGAACUGUGCAGUCCUAAAUCCAUCCAUGCGUGUGACUAGAUCCCAAACUGGUUUCCCCAUCGUGGACUGAGCUGUUUUUUGUUUUUGAUUAUUAUUUUGUAAAUACUCCACUCAAGUGCACUUAAACAAUAUCUCUGCAGAUUGUAAAUAUUUGGGUUUUCUCUUUCUGGUUAUAAUUUAUGGUUAUAUUUUGUAUGUCAAAAUUCACUUUAAUAUAUGGUACUAACACCAACUUUGAAUUCCUGUCUUGUUGUGUUUUAUUAUUGCACUAUCACCUCCGAGAGCCGAGCCAGAUCUUUUGAACUAGCCUACCUUUAAAUCCUAAAUCCUAAAAUAUUGAAAUAAAUAUUUGGGCCACAUGUACAUGUUACAGUAGCCUUGUGUUACCUGCAGAAAGUGGUGCACUUAGCAAAUAAAGAACAAGAUUUUUUUUUCUUCGAAGUCUGUGGAGAC
ensembl:lncRNA